GUGGGGAAUAUUGGACAAUGGGCGAAAGCCUGAUCCAGCCAUGCCACGUGAGUGAUGAAGGCCUUAGGGUUGUAAAGCUCUUUCAGUAGGGAAGAUAAUGACGGUACCUACAGAAGAAGCCCCGGCUAACUUCGUGCCAGCAGCCGCGGUAAUACGAAGGGGGCUAGCGUUGUUCGGAUUUACUGGGCGUAAAGCGCACGUAGGCGGAUUGGUCAGUUAGAGGUGAAAUCCUGGAGCUCAACUCCAGAACUGCCUUUAAUACUGCCAGUCUAGAGUCCAGAAGAGGUGAGUGGAACUCCUAGUGUAGAGGUGGAAUUCGUAGAUAUUAGGAAGAACACCAGUGGCGAAGGCGGCUCACUGGUCUGGUACUGACGCUGAGGUGCGAAAGCGUGGGGAGCAAACAGGAUUAGAAACCCGGGUAGUCC
rnacentral:rRNA from 1 species